UACGUUGCUGCUAGGUUUGAAGUAGAGUAAAUAAGUAAAAUUGUUCUUUUAGUUCUAAUAGAUACGCAAAUACCUAAAGAAGAGAGAAAAGGGCUUCAAGUAGUCGCCGACGCAUGCGAGUAGGAAGAAAAGGCUGUAGAGGGUCUUUGGUGGAGUUGACCAGAUCCAGGAGCAGCUUUUGGACCUCAGCAGUAGGAUUUGAUCGGGAGCUGACUUCAGUCCAGAGACUCCGAGGUAGUCUUGCUGACGUCCGCAGGCCCGAAGUCUCUCUCUCUUUAUUCAGUUUGUUAUCUUUUGUACCGAAACAAACAGUUUAUAAUUUUCUUUCAGACGAUCGUAUUUAGUAAAUCUUAGAAGUUCGUGAGCAUUGUGACACCAAUCUGGGGUAGAGAAUUAUGUUAAACUUUCCGCAUUUCUAUUCA